AAGAAGGUCAUUUCCUACAUGACGAUUGGCAUCGAUGUGUCGUCUCUUUUCGGCGAGAUGGUCAUGUGCUCGGCGACCUCCGAUAUCGUCUUGAAGAAAAUGUGUUACCUCUAUGUAGGGAAUUAUGCCAAGGGUAAUCCAGAACUUGCUUUAUUGACGAUCAAUUUUCUUCAAAGAGAUUGUAAGGACGAGGAUCCAAUGAUUAGAGGGCUUGCUUUGAGGAGCUUGUCUUCGUUGCGAGUGGAGAAUCUGGUGGAAUAUUUGGUAGGGCCCUUGGGGUCGGGGUUGAAAGACAAUAAUAGCUAUGUGAGAAUGGUGGCUGUAAUGGGUGUUCUUAAAUUGUAUCAUAUAUCGGCUGCAACUUGUGUUGAUGCAGAUUUUCCAGCAACGCUAAAGCAUUUGAUGCUCCAUGACCCUGACACACAGGUUGUUGCAAAUUGUUUAUCCGCCCUGCAAGAAAUUUGGAGCUCAGAAGCAAGCACUUCUGAGGAGGCUUCAAGGGAGAAAGAAACUUUAAUUAGCAAGCCUGUUAUAUUCUACCUUUUGAAUCGGAUCAAGGAAUUUAGUGAAUGGGCACAGUGUCUUCUGCUUGAAUUGGUUGCUAAAUAUGUACCUGCAGAUAGCAAUGAGAUAUUUGAUAUCAUGAAUCUCCUUGAAGAUAGACUUCAGCAUGCAAAUGGCGCUGUUGUCCUUGCAACCAUCAAAGUGUUUCUACAGUUGACCUUGUCCAUGGCUGAUGUGCAUCAGGAGGUAUAUGAACGUAUUAAAGCUCCUCUGCUUACUUUAGUCAGUUCUGGAAGUCCAGAGCAAUCUUAUGCAGUUUUAAGUCACUUGCAUCUCUUGGUACUGCGUAAGAUUGCUCUGGACUUCCAGAACUGACUAAAGUAAGCAGAGGAGCUUUAAUACGUUCAUAUACCUCCUGAUGCACAUCAGCCAUGGACAAGGUCAACUGUAGAAAC
rnacentral:misc_RNA from 1 species